CACAUGGCUGUAGUUUACAGGAAGGAAUUAGCCAAUCCAUCCUUUUAAGGAGGUAAGAAAUAUGGGAAUGGUGUAUUGUAAUAGUCAAUGGUUCUCGUCAUACUUUCAGGUGGAAGGAAGGUAACUGAUGAAAUCUUCAUCUCUAAAGAGCACAAGAAGUUGCUGUACUGAAUAAAGCAAUAAAAAUGGGAGCUACCUGUUCAGAUGAAAGCAAAGUAGUUAGUAAUUCUAACCAAAGAUGAUUAUUUCUGCUCCUUUUUCCUUCCCAGAGAAGGCCAUUGCUUGUUCCUACAAGGAUGUAACAGGGAAGUUAUUUCAAAGAACAAGUGCAACUAACCAGAGUGUGAAGAUGAGCAUUGAGCCUGCUCUUGCAUUUGCAGAGAGGAGUUGUCCAGAUGAUUCUAUUUGUGCCUAAUUGAUCAUUGUUGCUUAUUUUUCAAAUGUCAAGAACUAAGUGGAACUGAUCAUAUCUAUCAAGAGGUAAGGAACGCACCUCCUCACAGCACGGGGGCAGGAAUUAAAGGCUGUUUCUAUUUUCAGGUGAAAGGAAGGUCUUACCAUUCAAGGGAGGAUGAGAGGCUGCUGAAUUUAAGAAAAAAGAAGUCAGACAGGUUUUGCUCUUCUGAGAUAUGAACAGACCAGGUGGUCAUUCCUACCAGGGAGAAGUGAGGCUCAGUGGCAUGGCUGUCCUGGGCAAGGAGACAAAAAAGACACUUCAAAUAGUUCAGCUAGUCGCAAAUCUGAAUCAAGUCAGCAGAACAUCACAGACAUGGAGGUAAGCAUUUAAAUUUCCCUGGUUCUAAAUGAAUCUGGUGCUAAAGCAACACUUGCAGACCAAAAAACUAGCUCACAUUGCAUCUCCAGAUGGAAGGAGACCAGAGGGCUGUUGUGUUCUAGAAGGGAUUAAUGCAAAUCCCACUAGCUGAACCAGGCAUGUCAGUUGGU